UUCAAUUUUUCACUAUUCGUCUUAUUCAAUUUUUUUUAUUAAUAUUUUUAUUUUUAUUAGAUGAUAAAUCAUGAAUAGUACUCUACGUGUGACUAAUUUUUUUCUAAUUUUUAAAAUUUUUUCAAAUAAAACGAAUAGUUAAACAUUAGACACAGAAACCAAAG
rnacentral:pre_miRNA from 1 species